UACGGGGGGAGCAAGCGUUGUUCGGAUUUACUGGGCGUAAAGGGCGCGUAGGCGGUCAGCACAAGUCAGUUGUGAAAUCUCCGAGCUUAACUCGGAACGGUCAACUGAUACUGUGCGACUAGAGUGCAGAAGGGGCAACUGGAAUUCUUGGUGUAGCGGUGAAAUGCGUAGAUAUCAAGAGGAACACCUGCGGCGAAGGCGGGUUGCUGGGCUGACACUGACGCUGAGGCGCGAAAGCGUGGGGAGCAAACGGG
rnacentral:rRNA from 1 species